rnacentral:rRNA from 1 species
GCAUAUCAAUAAGCGGAGGAAAAGAAACCAACAGGGAUUGCCCUAGUAACGGCGAGUGAAGCGGCAACAGCUCAAAUUUGAAAUCUGGCUCUUUCAGAGUCCGAGUUGUAAUUUGCAGAGGGCGCUUUGGCUUUGGCAGCGGUCCAAGUUCCUUGGAACAGGACGUCACAGAGGGUGAGAAUCCCGUACGUGGUCGCUAGCUAUUGCCGUGUAAAGCCCCUUCGACGAGUCGAGUUGUUUGGGAAUGCAGCUCUAAAUGGGAGGUAAAUUUCUUCUAAAGCUAAAUAUUGGCCAGAGACCGAUAGCGCACAAGUAGAGUGAUCGAAAGAUGAAAAGCACUUUGGAAAGAGAGUCAAACAGCACGUGAAAUUGUUGAAAGGGAAGCGCUUGCAGCCAGACUUGCUUGCAGUUGCUCAUCCGGGCUUUUGCCCGGUGCACUCUUCUGCAGGCAGGCCAGCAUCAGUUUGGGCGGUGGGAUAAAGGUCUCUGUCACGUACCUUCCUUCGGGUUGGCCUUAUAGGGGAGACGCCAUACCACCAGCCUGGACUGAGGUCCGCGCAUCUGCUAGGAUGCUGGCGUAAUGGCUGUAAGCGGCCCGUCUUGAAACACGGACCAAGGAGUCUAACAUCUAUGCGAGUGUUUGGGUGUCAAGCCCGAGCGCGUAAUGAAAGUGAACGGAGGUGGGAACCCGCAAGGGUGCACCAUCGACCGAUCCUGAAGUUUACGGAAGGAUUUGAGUAAGAGCAUGGCUGUUGGGACCCGAAAGAUGGUGAACUAUGCUUGAAUAGGGUGAAGCCAGAGGAAACUCUGGUGGAGGCUCGCAGCGGUUCUGACGUGCAAAUCGAUCGUCAAAUUUGGGCAUAGGGGCGAAAGACUAAUCGAACUAUCUAGUAGCUGGUUCCUGCGA